GACGAACGCUGGCGGCGUGCUUAACACAUGCAAGUCGAACGGAAAGGCCCUGCUUUUGUGGGGUGCUCGAGUGGCGAACGGGUGAGUAACACGUGAGUAACCUGCCCUUGACUUUGGGAUAACUUCAGGAAACUGGGGCUAAUACCGGAUAGGAGCUCCUGCUGCAUGGUGGGGGUUGGAAAGUUUCGGCGGUUGGGGAUGGACUCGCGGCUUAUCAGCUUGUUGGUGGGGUAGUGGCUUACCAAGGCUUUGACGGGUAGCCGGCCUGAGAGGGUGACCGGCCACGUUGGGACUGAGAUACGGCCCAGACUCCUACGGGAGGCAGCAGUGGGGAAAUAUGCACAUGGGGCGAAGCCUGAUGCAACACGCCCCCGUGCGGAAGACCGCCUUCGGUUGUAAAACGCUUUCCCCUGUGACCAAACCUGAAUGACCGUAAUGGGUAAAGAAGCACCGGCUUACUACCUGGCAACAGCCGCGGUGAUACCUAAGGUGCGAGCGUUGUCCGGAUUUAUUGGGCGUAAAGGGCUCCUAAGUGGUUGAUCUCCUCCGAAGUGUAAUCUUGGGGCUUUACCCUGAGCGUGCUUUCCAUACCGGCUGACUUGAGGAAGGUAGGGGAGAAUGGAAUUCCUGGUGGAGCGGUGGAAUGCGCAAAUAUCAAGAAGAACGCCAGUGGCGAAGGCGUUUCUCGGCCCUUUUCGUGACGUUGAGGAGCAAAAGCGUGGGGAGCGAACAGGCUUAGACCCCCUGGUAGUCCACGCUGUAAACGGGGGGUAUGAGGUGUGGGUUCCAUUCCACGGUUUCCGUGCGGAAGCUACCGCUUAAAGUACCCCGCCUGGGGAGUACGCCCGCAAGGCUAAAAUUCAAAGGAAUGGCCGGGCCCCCGCACAAGCGGCGGGCCAUGCGGAUAAUUUCGAUGCAACGCGUGGACCCUAACUUGGUUUGACCAGGAUCGGGAGGUGCUCAGAGAUGGGUGUCCUCCUUUGGGGGUCGGUUCACAGUGGGUGCAUGGCUGUCGUCAGCUCGUGUCGUGAGAUGUUGGGUUAAGUCCCGCAACGAGCGCACCCCUUGUUCACUGUUGCCAGCACGUUAUGGUGGGGACUCAGUGGAGACCGCCGGGGUCAACUCGGAGGAAGGUGGGGAUGACGUCAAGUCAUCAUGCCCCUUAUGUCCAGGGCUUCACGCAUGCUACAAUGGCUGGUACAGAGAGUGGCGAGCCUGUGAGGGUGAGCGAAUCUCGGAAAGCCGGUCUCAGUUCGGAUUGGGGUCUGCAACUCGACCUCAUGAAGUCGGAGUCGCUAGUAAUCGCAGAUCAGCAACGCUGCGGUGAAUACGUUCCCGGGGCA
rnacentral:rRNA from 1 species